rnacentral:rRNA from 1 species
CCAGACUCCUACGGGAGGCAGCAGUGGGGAAUAUUGCACAAUGGGGGAAACCCUGAUGCAGCGACGCCGCGUGAGUGAAGAAGUAUUUCGGUAUGUAAAGCUAUAUCAGCAGGAACGAGACAAGACGGUACCUGACUAAGAAGCCCCGGCUAACUACGUGCCAGCAGCCGCGGUAAUACGUAGGGGGCAAGCGUUAUCCGGAAUCACUGGGUGUAAAGGGAGCGUAGGCGGGACGGCAAGUCAGAUGUGAAAACUGAGGGCUCAACUUUCAGACUGCAUUUGAAACUGCUGUUCUUGAGUGAAGUAGAGGUAAGCGGAAUUCCUAGUGUAGCGGUGAAAUGCGUAGAUAUUAGGAGGAACAUCGGUGGCGAAGGCGGCUUACUGGGCUUUUACUGACGCUGAAGCUCGAAAGCGUGGGGAGCAAACAGGAUUAGAUACCCGAGUAU